AUACGGAGGGAGCAAGCGUUAUUCGGAAUCACUGGGCGUAAAGGACGCGUAGGCGGGUUUGUAAGUCAGGUGUGAAAUCCUACAGCUCAACUGUAGAACUGCACUUGAAACUACAGACCUAGAGUAUGGAAGGGGCAGAUGGAAUUAGUGGUGUAGAGGUAAAAUCCGUAGAUAUCACUAGGAAUACCGAAAGCGAAGGCGAUCUGCUGGGACAUUACUGACGCUGAGGCGUGAAAGCGUGGGGAGCAAACAGGAUUAGAAACCCCAGUAGUCC
rnacentral:rRNA from 1 species